rnacentral:rRNA from 1 species
CAGUAGCCGCGGUAAUACGAAGGGUGCAAGCGUUACUCGGAAUUACUGGGCGUAAAGCGCGCGUAGGUGGUUUGUUAAGUUGGAUGUGAAAGCCCCGGGCUCAACCUGGGAACUGCAUCCAAAACUGGCAAGCUAGAGUACGGUAGAGGGUGGUGGAAUUUCCUGUGUAGCGGUGAAAUGCGUAGAUAUAGGAAGGAACACCAGUGGCGAAGGCGACCACCUGGACUGAUACUGACACUGAGGUGCGAAAGCGUGGGGAGCAAACAGGAUUAGAGACCCGUGUAGUCCCUGUCUCUUAUAC